rnacentral:rRNA from 1 species
CCAGACUCCUACGGGAGGCAGCAGUGGGGAAUAUUGCACAAUGGGGGAAACCCUGAUGCAGCGACGCCGCGUGGAGGAAGAAGGUCUUCGGAUUGUAAACUCCUGUUGUUGAGGAGGAUAAUGACGGUACUCAACAAGGAAGUGACGGCUAACUACGUGC